rnacentral:tRNA from 2 species
GACCCAUUAGCUCAGUUGGUAGAGCAUCUGACUUUUAAUCAGGGUGUCCGGCGUUCGAGUCGCCGAUGGGUCACCA